UUUGCCCUUAGAGUUUGAUCCUGGCUCAGGCACGAACGCUUGUGGCGUGCCUAACACAUGCAAGUCGAACGGAGCUAAGGAAGCUUGCUUCCGGAGCUUAGUGGCGGACGGGUGAGUAAUACGUGAGUAACCUGCCCCUCAGAGAGGAAUAACGUCCGGAAACGGACGCUAAUACCUCAUAACAUAUCGAAGCCGCAUGACUUUGAUAUCAAAGGAGCAAUCCGCUGAGAGAUGGACUCGCGUCUGAUUAGCUGGUUGGCGGGGUAACGGCCCACCAAGGCGACGAUCAGUAGCCGGACUGAGAGGUUGAACGGCCACAUUGGGACUGAGACACGGCCCAGACUCCUACGGGAGGCAGCAGUGGGGGAUAUUGCACAAUGGGGGAAACCCUGAUGCAGCAACGCCGCGUGUGGGAAGAAGGUCUUCGGAUUGUAAACCAUUGUCCUCUGUGACGAUAAUGACGGUAGCAGAGGAGGAAGCCACGGCUAACUACGUGCCAGCAGCCGCGGUAAUACGUAGGUGGCAAGCGUUGUCCGGAUUUACUGGGUGUAAAGGGAGCGUAGGCGGGAGAGCAAGUCAGAAGUGAAAUCCAUCGGCUUAACCGAUGAACUGCUUUUGAAACUGCUUUUCUUGAGUGAAGUAGAGGUAGGCGGAAUCCCGGUGUAGCGGUGAAAUGCGUAGAUAUCGGGAGGAACACCAGUGGCGAAGUCGUCCUACUGGGCUUUACUGACGCUGAGGCUCGAAAGCAUGGGUAGCAAACAGGAUUAGAUACGCUGGUAGCCCAUGCCGUAAACGAUGAUUAAUAGGUGUGGGGGAGAUGACCUAUUCCGUGCCGCAGUUAACACAAUAAGUAAUCCACCUGGGGAGUACGACCGCAAGGAUGAAACUCAAAGGAAUUGACGGGGGACCGCACAAGCAGUGGAGUAUGUGUUUUAAUUCGAAGCAAUGCGAAGAACGUUACCAGGUCUUGACAUCGAGCGCCGUACUCAGAGAUGAGUUCUCUCUUCGGAGCGCGAAGACAGGUGGUGCAUGGUUGUCGUCAGCUCGUGUCGUGAGAUGUUGGGUUAAGUCCCGCAACGAGAGCAACCCUUAUAGCUUAGUUGCUACGCAUAGAGCAUUUUAGAUGAGACGGCCGUUGACAAAACGGAGGAAGGUGGGGAGAGACGUCAAAUUAUCAUGCCCGUUAUGACCUGGGAUACACAAGUAAUACGAUGGCCGUAAACAGAGGGAAGCAAUACUGUGAAGAGGAGCAAACCCCUAUAAACGGUCCCAGUUCAGAAUGCAGGAUGCAACUCGCCUGCACGAAGUUGGAAUUGCUAGUAAUCGCGGAUCAGCAUGCCGCGGAGAAUACGUUCCCGGGCCUUGUACACGCCGCCCGUCA
rnacentral:rRNA from 1 species